ACGCUGGCGGCGUGCUUAACACAUGCAAGUCGAACGGUGACAUCAGAGCUUGCUCUGGUUGAUCAGUGGCGAACGGGUGAGUAACACGUGAGUAACCUGCCCUUGACUCUGGGAUAACUCCGGGAAACCGGGGCUAAUACCGGAUACGAGACGCGACCGCAUGGUCGGCGUCUGGAAAGUUUUUCGGUCAAGGAUGGACUCGCGGCCUAUCAGCUUGUUGGUGAGGUAAUGGCUCACCAAGGCGUCGACGGGUAGCCGGCCUGAGAGGGCGACCGGCCACACUGGGACUGAGACACGGCCCAGACUCCUACGGGAGGCAGCAGUGGGGAAUAUUGCACAAUGGGCGAAAGCCUGAUGCAGCGACGCCGCGUGAGGGAUGAAGGCCUUCGGGUUGUAAACCUCUUUCAGUAGGGAAGAAGCGAAAGUGACGGUACCUGCAGAAGAAGCGCCGGCUAACUACGUGCCAGCAGCCGCGGUAAUACGUAGGGGCGCAAGCGUUGUCCGGAAUUAUUGGGCGUAAAGAGCUCGUAGGCGGUUUGUCGCGUCUGGUGUGAAACUCAAGGCUCAACCUUGAGCUUGCAUCGGGUACGGGCAGACUAGAGUGUGGUAGGGGUGACUGGAAUUCCCUGGUGUAGCGGUGGAGUGCGCAAAU
rnacentral:rRNA from 1 species